AAGUAUGUUUACGCAAGUAAUGGCGUGACCUUCGAUUAAGCGAAGUGAUUUAUUUAAGUAAAAAUUAUAUAAAUUAACAUAUCUUUAAAUCAACCAAGUGUUUGUAUUGUUUUCUUGGAGAAUUAAAUUUAAAAAUAUAUUGGAGUAUUUUUAUUUGUCUUUGUUGAAACUAUGUUGUGUUUGUAUUUCUACUUGAGUCAAGUAGAUAUGAUUAAAAUGAUAAAGUUUUUAUGGUGUGGUUAUUUAGAUUAAAUAGCCUAAUUGUUGAGUAAACUUGAUUGCUAAAGAAACUAGAUUAAGUUUUUAAUUCUACUUGAUUAUCAACUGCUUUUAAUGCAAAAAAAUUCAUUUGGAUUUGAGAAAAGGGAACAACAUCUUCAGAGUUUUUCUUUAACUCUAAAAAUAAAAUAUAAUAACAUCAGUGGUUUUUAUAAAAGAAUUACUAUAGUUGAAAAGGCUGAAAGGAAAAAAUAUGAUGAUUUGUUUCAAGAAAGUGAGUGACUUAGUUCAAAAUGUCAUUCCAAGAAUUUUAAUCUUUAAUGAUAUUCUGGUGUUAUUACCAAUUAUUUGGUAGUAUGAAACGUAUAAUAUUAUAUACCAUAUUAUAUACCCUAUUUUACUUUUAAAAUUAAUAAUCUGUAAAGUAAUUUGUAAAAAUUUUUUGAAUUGUAAAAUUGCUAAAUGAGAAAACAAGUUGUUAGAUGAAACUCAAAUAUUCUCUAUGCUUGUGUCCUGUAGGUCAAAAAUAAUAGAUAAAGAUGAUAUUUAUUGUGAUGACCGAGCGAUUCAUUUUAAGACACAUCAAUCUUCAUCACCUUUAAAUAAAAAGGAUAAAUAAAAUGGAUUUUCAUUAUCUCAAGCAAACUUUCAAUAUUGUGUGUUGCUUUUCUUAAAUGAGAUAAAAACCCAAUGAUGCAAAAAACUUAAUAUAAAAUAGUGUGAACAAGAAGUAGUAACUGAAAUUAACAGCCUAAUAGAACUUGAUAAGUUCAAAAUAUUGGUGCUAAGAAUUGUCAAAAACUUGUGAUAGCUAUGAUGAAGAGUUUUAUGACAAAUUCACUCAUGGCCAAAUUUAAAAUGACAGCUGGAAAAGACAAAAGGAUCUUUUUAGUCUAACCAAGCUAUACAACUUAAUAAAAGUUUGUGCAUCGACUGCUCACGAAUCAUACACAGAGUCGAUUGUCGAUGCAAUAAAUACUGAUUCGUUAAAGCGGGUAACUUUUGCUCGUGUUAAAGUGCCUUAAAUCCAACAGAUAUCAUCGUUACGAUAUUACUUGGUUUGUAAAUUGUUUUAGAAAAUAAAUUUAAAAAUAACA